CUCAGUCCUCUGAAUUCUGCUUAAACCUUGGCAUUCAAGGCAGAGAUCGCCAGGCAAGCAUCAGGCCAGACACUGGGAGUUAUCCUGAGAGCCUGGCCGCACGCUGACAGGGCCCCCCUUUGGGGACAGAAUUCCAAUUGCGGGCCGCGGCUGCCGCCUGGGAGAGGACGCUGCGCUCCGCCUCCGAGAGAAGGAAGAAGCAGGAAUGCAGGGGCUUCUGUGGGCUCCGUGCUUCCAGCCUUCUGGGAGAGAGAGGAAGACCCUUGGGCUCAGAAGGAGCCGGGCUUCCUGGCUUGCCUCCGGCAAGGCUUCUAGAAGGGGAGGCUUGUGAGGGGAGCCGGACAGAUAGGGGUUGGGGACAUGGAAAGUUUUUAGCCUUUUUAUUUAAACUGCCGGGGGUCUUCUACUUCAGGUAAUGAGCUAUUCCCAGAGGAAAGCAAACUUGAUCCCCUAUCUCCAUUAAUGGAAGGAAAGUGGAUACUUAACUGCAUGUGGCCAGUGAGAUGCUGGCAAGGGUUUUUGCACCAAUGUGGGCUCCAGGGUCACAUCCAUGUGGGGGUCUCUAUGGGAGAGAUGAUGAAAAGGAAGGGAGCAAUUUUAGAACCAUAGGGUCUCCCUCUGCAGGCUGGAGGGGGACACUCCAGAGUAGAGAGAAGACCUUCUAGAGAUAGAAAAAUCAGUGUGCCCAUAGGAGCCCCAGAGAAAGAGCAACAAGUAUCCCCCACCCCCAUAGGGCUGUCAGGACUUUUUUGUGUUUAACAAAGGAAGACAGCUGGGUGCCCUGUAGGACUGGUUGAAUUCCAUUCUGUGUAAGGUGUGUGUGUGUGUGUGUGUGUGUGUGUGUGUGUGUGUGUGUGUGUGUGUGUGUGUGUGUGUGUGUGUGUGUGUGUGUUCUGUCCCAGGAUCUGCCAGAUGGAAUCACAGCUGGGGCUGUAGGUAAGAGAGAGGACGGGCUCUGGUUGGUCUUCUACCUCCUGCUUCCUGAAAAUCCCUUGUAAGUCAGGCCCCUGCUGGCUGAUAGGUGUGGCUUGCCAAGGAUCAAGUGGCUGGCAUCAGGGAUAAAUUCUCAUCAGGGUGAAAGGAAUUGAAAGUUAGAGUAGCCAACUUGAGCCACUUGGCCAAGCUGGGGCAGAGCCACGCGGAGGCAAAUGUCUUGGAGAGCAAAGCUGGCAUCUCCAGGGCCUGCCAAGCUUAAGAAGGUGGAGAAAGGGGAAGCUGACAUCAUGCUCUUCUAGGCCAAUGGCCAUUUUGAGAUGGCGUUCUGACCCAUCCAGAUUCCUGCAAAGCCAGAUCCACUGAGAUGGUUCCCAGAAAGCAGUCCGAGGUGACAUGUGGAGCAUGACCUUGGCAGUUUAUCAAUCGUGAAUGAUAUGACAGAAGGCAAAUGAUCAAGACUGGGGAGCCUUGUGCCUUUGCUAACCCAGAGUCCUGGUCUCAACAGGGCAUAGGCUUGUAAACCAGAGGGACCAAAACCAAGUCACCUUAGCAAGUGAAUAUUCUUGGUUUUAUUGCCAUCCUACAGAUGAGAAAACUCCGCCACAAUGAACUGCUGUGUCCAAAUCACAGGACCAGUGAAGUGAGAGCUGGGACUUCAUCUGGGUGACUGGGGAACCAUUUAAAACUUACCAGGAUCUUAUUUGCCUCCGGAACUGCAUAUCUAAAAGCCAAGGUCAAACACACUCUGCCUUCUCUUCUGCUUCCUGUGCAUGGCCCCAAAGAUGACCUCAGAGUGGACGAGGAACUGCCGGUAAUUAUGCUGGGACCCUUGCCGCAAUGCCUGCUUCCAGAGCUACAGCUGCGCUCCAGAGAGAUCAUUAGUCGGUGUGCACAUGUUAUUGAGGGCAGUGGUGUCAUCGCCGGUUGAAGAUGCCCUCAGUCAAGUGUGAGAGCCGGAAAUGGACGUCAAAAUAAUUAACCUCCUGUGAUUUUGUGCUCCUUGCAAAAUCAACCAUGUGCAGCUCAUAUUUCAGCAGAACAAUAUAAUCAUUUGUUCACAAGUCUCUCUCUUUCUCCCUUCCUCCCUCACUCGUCUUUCCUCCUUUCUGUCUCCCAAUCCAUCUCAUUGGCUAGCUUUUCUGUAUUCCCUUCCCACCCUUACAGCAGGCUGUCAUAACCCCCUGCACCCAUAGGCAUCGCUGGCCGGGGCUUAGUACCCUCACCCAUUGCUGUCACACCGACUCUCUAAAGAACAGCAGAACGUGUUCCCUUUGUAAAAGCUUCGCUUGACCCCAUUUCAGUUCACCCACUCUCUCCUGCACCACGCAGGAAUCAUGCAUCACUGUAGGAGUCACAGCCAAAGCAUCCACCGUCCACUCUACUUAAGGAACACUCCUACCUGGCUGGUGGCAGCAUUACAAGGGGCCAGCCUGGGGUUGGAGAAAAGUCCACGUGCAGACAGGAGCUAAGGGUAUUUGCCAAGUUGUAAAGAGCAAGAUGUUGA